rnacentral:rRNA from 1 species
AACGAACGCUGGCGGCAGGCUUAACACAUGCAAGUCGAGCGCCCCGCAAGGGGAGCGGCAGACGGGUGAGUAACGCGUGGGAACGUACCCUUUGCUACCGAAUAGCUCCGGGAAACUGGAAUUAAUACCGUAUGUGCCCUACGGGGGAAAGAUUUAUCGGCAAAGGAUCGGCCCGCGUUGGAUUCGCUAGUUGGUGGGGUAAUGGCCUACCAAGGCGACGAUCCAUAGCUGGUCUGGGAGGAUGAUCAGCCACAUUGGGACUGAGACGCGGCCCAAACUCCUACGGGAGGCAGCAGUGGGGAAUAUUGGACAAUGGGCGCAAGCCUGAUCCAGCCAUGCCGCGUGAGUGAUGAAGGUCUUAGGAUUGUAAAGCUCUUUCACCGGUGAAGAUAAUGACGGUAACCGGAGAAGAAGCCCCGGCUAACUUCGUGCCAGCCGCCGCAGUAAAAC